AUUGAACGCUGGCGGCAUGCCUUACACAUGCAAGUCGAACGGCAGCACGGGAGCUAUCCUGGUGGCGAGUGGCGAACGGGUGAGUAAUGUAUCGGAACGUACCUUUCAGUGGGGGAUAACGUAGCGAAAGUUACGCUAAUACCGCAUAUUCUGUGAGCAGGAAAGCAGGGGAUCGCAAGACCUUGCGCUGAUUGAGCGGCCGAUAUCAGAUUAGCUAGUUGGUGAGGUAAAGGCUCACCAAGGCGACGAUCUGUAGCGGGUCUGAGAGGAUGAUCCGCCACACUGGAACUGAGACACGGUCCAGACUCCUACGGGAGGCAGCAGUGGGGAAUUUUGGACAAUGGGCGCAAGCCUGAUCCAGCCAUGCCGCGUGAGUGAAGAAGGCC
rnacentral:rRNA from 1 species